rnacentral:rRNA from 1 species
UACGGGGGGGGCAAGCGUUGUUCGGAAUUACUGGGCGUAAAGGGCUCGUAGGUGGCCAACUAAGUCAGACGUGAAAUCCCUCGGCUUAACCGGGGAACUGCGUCUGAUACUGGAUGGCUUGAGUUUGGGAGAGGAAUGCGGAAUUCCAGGUGUAGCGGUGAAAUGCGUAGAUAUCUGGAGGAACACCGGUGGCGAAGGCGGCAUUCUGGACCAAUACUGACGCUGAGGAGCGAAAGCCAGGGGAGCAAGCGGG